rfam:Pediococcus claussenii ATCC BAA-344, complete genome.
GGGGUCGUUAAGGAUUCGACAGGUGUGGGUUGAACCGUGAUUGCACUUCGUAGGUUGCGACUACGUUAAAACGCUCAGUUUAAAUUAUAACUGCAAAAAAUAAUAACAAUUCUUACGCUUUAGCUGCUUAAUACCAGCUUAGUGUAGAUCCAGCUAACUUUGUUCGCGGGUUUGAUCUGGGUCCUAAAUUAGCGGACUUGCGCUUAGUCAUUUCGUUUGGAUGAUUAAGAAGAGGAUUUUCAGACUAGUGGUUCAUGGGUGCCCUGUCAUACGGCGUUUUGAAUCAUGAAACUUAAAUAGUAUGAAUAUAAGUGUAGAGGUUGCGGUGGCAACAUGCUUGGACGCGGGUUCGACUCCCGCCGACUCCAUUU